rnacentral:lncRNA from 1 species
AUAAACUAGCUUGGUCUCCUUCUUCCCCUACUCCUUGUAAUCCUGUUCCUGUUUCUUGUAAUACUAGUAAUAAACAAGUUGUUUCUGUGCCUUCUUGUAAAGAUGAUCUUUUAUCUGAAAACAAGACUGUUUCUAUGCAUUCUCAUGUUAAUAGUUCUACUUGUAAUGAUGAUUUUAAUUCUGAUAUGAAUUACACUUGGCACUUAAGACUUGCACACAUU